GGAAUGUUUGCUCACCUGGCUCCCAGAGCUCACUCUCUGCACUGCUGGUGUUGAGCUGGUCAGGUGGGGCUGGAGAUGGAUGACCUGAAAUGAACCAGCAGCAGCAUGGUGGGUGAGUGAGCUCAGGCCUGGAGACCACAGAGACACCCUGAUGAGCAGGGGGCACUUCCUGGAGCCUGUGGUGGCUACAUGAGGCCUUUGGAAAAGACGUGGUCCUCAACUUUGGGUGCAUUGGCCUCCCUUCAAGGUUUCCUGGUGGGAACCCAACUGAUGCGUGGGCCUGAGGCCACCCAGUGAGCAAGCUGCAGAGCCCGGAUUUAAACUGUCUCCAAGGACUUGCCUCCCCUCUGGGCUGGGAUGUUUGGGCUUGCAAAGCACAAAGGGAGGCUCUGGGGCAGGGACUGUUGUGGUUGCCUAUGAACUCCUCUGCAUUUCCUGGUUUCUCUUGCACUUAGGUUGGGCUGGUUGAAGCCUAGGCAGAAGACGUCUGCCUGCUUUUGAGCCAAAGCAGGGAAGAGGCAGUGAGCCAUUUCCAUUUACGUCUUCCCUGUUGAAGGAUAUUAGAGGCCCUGGGUUGCGGAGGAACUGCAAGAGGGAAGGGGAUGUUGACCCAGCUUGGAUUUUGUGUGAGUAAGGAGUAAGCCCUUAUCAUGUUAAACCAUGAAGAUUUGGGGGUGUCCUUGUUGCUACAGCCUUGCCUAGUCCGGCCUGACCGAUACAGAGCCUGAAGACUCGGACAUGACCACUACACAUUCCUGGAGCUUCACCUGAGCAGAUUCCACGGACAUACCCCCUGAGCCUGAGCUUGUGCAUGUGCGCGUGCACACCCUGGCAGACAGCCCUCUCCAGGAAACCGUGUGGGCCUCUUCAUCAUCAGGCAGAAAGUCUUCAGCCCUCUAAUUGCCGUCCUCGCUAACUCCCUGGCUGGCUGCCCAGCCUGAGCCCCUGGAGGAGAAAUGACUCCAAAUUCAGAGCAUAAACUCUGUGGCUGAUGUAUUAGAAUGUUCAGCGCAAGAAUUCAGAUGCCCACAAGUUAGGAUUUCAGAAUCCCGGUUCCCACAGCAACCGUCCCAGUGCUCCUGCGUAGUUUUCAAUGUUACUACAUGGGGUGGGGGAGGGGGAUUGAAUGAUGGCUGCAGUGUGUAUGACUGUGAGGUGUGUGCAUAUGAGUGUGUGUGAGGGACUGUGUGCAUAUGUGAUUACGACUGUGUGUGUGAAUGUGAUGUGUGUGGGGCAGGGGGGCUUUAGCUCUGCUCUGUAUCAUCUCUCUCUCUGGGUCUGGAAAACCACUUUCUCAUGCAUAAAGACAAAAAUGUGUUCUCCUAGAUCAGAAAACCCUAGAGGGCAGGGCCCAUGGCUGGGUCAGCCCUGUGUCCCCCACAGUGUCCAAGGCAAUGUUUGUUGAUUGACUGAAUGAAUGAGCAGCAGCUGCCAGCUCCAAGGCAGCUGGUUGAAAGCGGAUAACCUCGAGGGCUUUAUUUUUGUGUCAAGCAUUCUCCCAUCCCCUAUCCCAAGAAGGGAACCUGGCUUCUCUGUUCUCUGACUUCUGUGCUACAGGAACAAAAGCAGAAAUUACCUGGAACCGUCUUUCCAUCCAGGCCUCAUUUCACAGAGGGCCGAAUGGAAGAUCAGCGUUUCUCAGACAUCAUUAUCACCUUUUUUGUUUUGAGACAGUGUCUCGCUCUGUCGCCCAGGCUGGAGUGCAGUGGCACAAUCUCGGCUCACUGCAACCUCCACCUCCUGGGUUCAAGCGAUUCUCGUGCCUCAGUUUCCCGAGUAGCUAGGACUACAGGCGCUUGCCACGAUGCUGGCUAAUUUUUGUAUAUUUUUUGUAGAGACGGGGUUUUCCCAUGUUGCCCAGGCUGGUCUCAAAUUCCUGAGCUCAAGUGAUCUGCCCACCUCAGCCUCCCAAAUUGUUGGGAUUACAGGCGUGAGCCACCACACCCGGCCCAUUGUUACCACUUUUGCCUGGCCCUGUGCCUCACACUUUUCUUUAAAUUGGUUCACUUUUUUGCUGCAAUAAAUUUAUUUGAAAAGGAGCCUGCUAUGGUUUGAAUGUGUUCCAAGGUUCAUGUGUUGGAAAUUUAAUCCCCCAAUGACCUGUGUUGAGAAGUUGGAUGUUUAAGAAUUGAUUAGGGCUGGGCGUGGUGGCUCACGCCUGUAAGCCCAACACUUUGGGAGGCCAAGGCGUGUGGAUUACCUGAGGUCAGGAGUCCGAGACCAGCCUGGCCAACAUGGUGAAACCCUGUCUCUACUACAAAUACAAAAAUUAGUCGGGUGUGGUGGCACAUGCCUGUAAUCCCAGCUACUCCGGAGGCUGAGGCAGGAGAAUUGCUUGAGCCUGGGAGGUGGAGGUUGCAGUGAGCUGAGAUUGCGCCACUGCCCUCCAGCCUGGCCAACAGAGCGAGACUGUGUCUCAAAAAAGAAAAGAAAAGAAAAGAAAAGAGUUGAUUAGGUCAUGAGGAGUCUGCCUUCAUGAACGGAUUAAUGCUGUUAUCACAGGGGUGUGUUGGUUAUUGCAGAAGUGGUUUUGUCGUAAAAGUGAGAGUUCCACCGUCCCUCGCUCUGUCUCUCGUGCACUCUCUGGCCAUGUGACGCCUUCCAUUGUGUUAUGAUGCAGAGAGAAGGCCCUCAUCAGAUGUGGCCCCUAGAUCUUGGGCUUUCCAGCCUGCAGAACUAUAAGAAAUAAAUUUCUUUUUGUUUUAAAUUACUCACUCUGUGGUACUUUGUUAUAGCAACACAAAACAGAGUAAGAGCAAACUUUUACCCUUUCCUGUGAAUUUGCUUUUUUACAUCAUUAAAGACACCUGAUCAUAAAAAUGUUCACUGCAGAUUUUUUUUUUUGAAACAGUGUCUUGCUCUGUCACCCAGGCUGGAGUGCAGUGGCGUGAUCUCGGCUCAUUGCAACCUUCACCUCCUGGGUUCAAGCAAUUCUCCUGCCUCAGCCUCCCAAGUUGCUGGGAUUACAGGCACCCACCACCACACCCUGCUAAAUUUUUUUGUAUUUUUGGUAGAGAUGGGGUUUCUCCAUGUUGGCCAGGUUGGGUCUUGAACACCUGACCUCAAG
rnacentral:lncRNA from 1 species